rnacentral:rRNA from 1 species
UACGGAGGGCGCAAGCGUUGUUCGGAAUUACUGGGCGUAAAGCGCGUGUAGGCGGCCAGGUAAGUCGGAUGUGAAAUCCCGGGGCCCAACCCCGGAACUGCACCCGAUACUGCCCGGCUGGAGUCCCGGAGAGGAUGGCGGAAUUUCCGGUGUAGAGGUGAAAUUCGUAGAUAUCGGAAGGAACACCAGUGGCGAAGGCGGCCAUCUGGACGGUGACUGACGCUGAGACGCGAAAGCGUGGGGAGCAAACAGG